CGAGCGAGAGAGAGCUUGCUUUCUCGAGCGAGUGGCGAACGGGUGAGUAACGCGUGAGGAACCUGCCUCAAAGAGGGGGACAACAGUUGGAAACGACUGCUAAUACCGCAUAAGCCCACGGUGCCGCAUGGUACAGAGGGGAAAGGAGCAAUCCGCUUUGAGAUGGCCUCGCGUCCGAUUAGCUAGUUGGUGAGGUAACGGCCCACCAAGGCGACGAUCGGUAGCCGGACUGAGAGGUUGAUCGGCCACAUUGGGACUGAGACACGGCCCAGACUCCUACGGGAGGCAGCAGUGGGGAAUAUUGCACAAUGGGGGAAACCCUGAUGCAGCGACGCCGCGUGGAGGAAGAAGGUCUUCGGAUUGUAAACUCCUGUUGUUGGGAAGAUAAUGACGGUACCCAACAAGGAAGUGACGGCUAACUACGUGCCAGCAGCCGCGGUAAAACGUAGGUCACAAGCGUUGUCCGG
rnacentral:rRNA from 1 species